rnacentral:lncRNA from 1 species
GUUGGUAAGUGAUUGUAGUGUACAUGUUUUAUAUAGCUUUAUUUAACUUAAAACUAACAAAAAAAAAAAUUUAUUAAAACAAAACACAUUUAAUUUAAUUUAUGGACGCAGUAACGAUGUCAGAACUAGUACACAGUUUUUUGUUUUGAAAUAUUCUGCUAUGGCAUUUUUUCGUUAUGUGUAUAUUACACAAACGACGUUAUGUC